rnacentral:rRNA from 1 species
CCUACCUGGUUGAUCCUGCCAGUAGUCAUAUGCUUGUUUCAAAGACUAAGCCAUGCAUGUCUAAGUCCAAGCUGUGUGUUGUGGGUGCAAGCUUACACACACGGCGAAACCGCGGACGGCUCAUUAAAUCAGUCGUGGUCCAAAUGGGCUAGUGUUAUCUUACUUGGAUAACUGUGGUAAUUCCAGAGCUAAUACAUGCAACUGUAAGUCUGAGCGGUGUGUGUUUAUACUUCGGUGUUUGACGCGCUGCGACGACUGCUUUUAUUAGACCAAACCGCUAAGAGGCUGAUUUCUAUCAGUCUUUAAGACUCGUGUUAUGGCGACUCUGAAUAAUACCCUUUGACAAGCGCACGUAUCCAUUUGUUUGGGACGGCGCUGCCACUUUCGAGUGUCUGCCUUAUCAGCUAUGAAUCGUUCGUUAUGUGCGACCGAUGGCUUUGACGGGUAACGGGGAAUCAGGGUUCGAUUCCGGAGAGGCAGCCUGAGAAACGGCUACCACGUCCAAGGACGGCAGCAGGCACGCAAAUUACCCAAUCCCAGUACCUGGGGGAGGUAGUGACGAAAUAUAACGAUGCGGGCGCCCCUUCUGGGGCCCCGCAAUCGGAAUGGGCAUUUUCUUUCUAAAAAACCUGUUGAGAACCUACUGAAGGGCAAGUCUGGUGCCAGCAGCCGCGGUAAUUCCAGCUUCAGCAGCAUCUACUAAAGUUGCUGCGGUUAAAAGGCUCGCAGUUGAAUGUCAGUAUCAAGUGCAGCGAUGGUGGACGUUGGAGUGUGGGUUAUAGUGUGUCGGUUGGCGUUCGCGUUGUGCUGUUCGCGGCCAGUGUUGUUCGGUGAUCACUCGCUGUGCUCGCUUUAACUCCCGUCCGUAACAAGCCUCCUCACUUGUGUACAAAGUGGAGUCCUAUGGUGGAAGGAGUUUUCUGUGUGUGUCGCGCUGGUCUCUUGCUCUCUCAUGCUUUGUACGUUCCACUUCGCGUGGUUCCUCUGCGGGUGUGUCUGUUGUGAGAGAUUGCGUUGCGCGCGUCUCUCUCUAAGCUGGUAUUCAAAGUCAUCUUGAGUAAAUCAGAGUGCUCAAAGCAGUCGUAAAGGAUGUGCGGCGUUAACGCGUCGUACGUUCUGUGAUGAAUGUCUAUUAUGACAGACAGUCUUGGUUUUGCAUGGUAUGUCGAAAGACGCCGUAUUUUCCUGUUGGUAACGAGUCUGGUGCGGGCUUGCACCAGGGGUCCUCGUGGCCUUUGAGAGUGUGACAUACGAGACCAACAGGUGCGGAAUGAUUAAAAGGCACAGUCGAGGGCAUUGGUAUUGCGAGGCGAGAGGUGAAAUUCUAUGACCCCCGCAAGACCUCCUGAAGCGAAAGCGUCUGCCAAGGAUGUUUUCAUUAAUCAUGAACGAAAGUUAGAGGAUCGAAGGCGAUCAGAUACCGCCCUAGUUCUAACCCUAAACGAUGCCAACCAUCAAUCCGCGCGUAGCACCCUUUCUAACGGGCUCGGCGGGCGGCUCUCCAUUCACGGGAAACCAGAGUCUCUGGGUUCCGGGGGGAGUCUGGUUGCAAAGCUGAAACUUAAAGGAAUUGACGGAAAGGCACCACCAGGAGUGGAGCCUGCGGCUUAAUUUGACUCAACACGGGCCAUCUCACCAGGCCAGCACUCUUGUACGAUUGACAGAUUGAGAGUUCUUUCUCGAUUAAGUGGAUGGUGGUGCAUGGCCGUUCUUAGUUGGUGGAGUGAUCUGUCUGGUUAAUUCCGAUAACGAACGAGACUCUCCCCUGCUAACUAGUCGGUUGGAUUUUGCGUUCGAGUCUGUCUGUAUGGCAUUGUGUGAGUGCGCGCGUAAUAAACUGCACGUUGUGUUCGCCUUUGUUGUGCCAUUCUCCAAGUCCGCCGCUUACGUCACUAAGUGAUGUGUAACAGCAAAGCUUUUGGGUAAAACUCUUCUUAGAGGGAUUCACGGUUCUGAAGCCGUAAGAAACUGAGAGCAAUAACAGGUCUGUGAUGCCCUUAGAUGUUCUGGGCCGCACGCGCGCUACAAUGCCGGGCACAGCAGGUAUCUAUCCUUCUCCGAGAGGAGUGGGUAACCCUCUGAAAGCCCUUGAAACAAUUUAUCAGAGUUGAGAGUGUGUGUGCGCGGGCGCUUCGUGCGUGUGUGUGCACGCCUCUCUUCUUCCUUGGCUUGCUUGGGCCUGUGGCUUGCAAUUUUUUCACACAAACGAGGAAUGCCUAGUAGCGGCGGAUCACUGAGUUCGCUGUGACUCAGUCCCUGCCCUUUGUACACACCGCCCGUCGCUACUACCGAUUGGGUGUACCAGUGAGAUCCUUGGACUGGCGAGCCUUGUGCCCUAGUAAUAUAGAGUGCAAGUGUGUACGACGGGAAGAGGCUCGAACUGGUGCACUUAGAGGAAGUAAAAGUCGUAACAAGGUUUCCGUAGGUGAACCUGCGGAAGGAUCAUUA